rnacentral:rRNA from 1 species
ACAUAGCCCUUGGUAUAUAUAAAGGUCCCGCCUGCCCAGUGGUACGAACUAAACGGCCGCGGUAUCUUGACCGUGCAAAGGUAGCAUAAUCAUUUGUCUUUUAAAUGGAGACUCGUAUGAACGGCAAAACCUUUUCCAACUGUCUCCCUUACCCCCCUUACAAACUUCUACCUGCGUGAAGAAGCGCAGACACGAAGGAAAGACGAGAAGACCCUGUCGAGCUUUAGCCAAAAGGUGAAAAGCCAAAAUAGUAAUCACUUAACUAUACCGGCUACUUCAUCCUCAAGGCUUUGGUUGGGGCAACCAUGGAGAAAAAGAACCCUCCAGAACUAGCAAGAAGAGAUCACCUCUCUGCUAAACUCUAAGGAACCAGGAGCUGGUAAUCGGAAAAAGUUACCGCAGGGAUAACAGCGUAAUCUUCUCUAAGAGUCCUUAUUGACGAGAAGGCUUGCGACCUCGAUGUUGGAUUGGGGCCCCCCUAGGGUGCAGAAGCUCU